GACGAACGCUGGCGGCGUGCCUAACACAUGCAAGUCGAACGGGGUGAUCCUUCGGGGUCACUUAGUGGCGAACGGGUGAGUAACGCGUGAGAAACCUGCCUCUCAGUGGGGGACAACAGUUGGAAACGACUGCUAAUACCGCAUAAUGUAUCCGGAGGGCAUCCUUUGGAUACCAAAGCUUUAUGUGCUGAGAGAUGGUCUCGCGUCUGAUUAGCUAGUUGGCGGGGUAACGGCCCACCAAGGCGACGAUCAGUAGCCGGUCUGAGAGGAUGAACGGCCACAUUGGGACUGAGAUACGGCCCAGACUCCUACGGGAGGCAGCAGUGGGGAAUAUUGGACAAUGGGGGAAACCCUGAUCCAGCGACGCCGCGUGAGUGAAGAAGUAUUUCGGUAUGUAAAGCUCUAUCAGCAGGGAAGAAAAUAGACGGUACCUGACUAAGAAGCCCCGGCUAACUACGUG
rnacentral:rRNA from 1 species